UGCUAGGCGACACUACCGCCACUUCCUGUGUGACAGUGAGGGAAGUUGAGAAGUGUAGUCUAUCUUCUAAGAAGCCACAUGCCUACCUACUCAGUCAUCUCCUAAGGAACCAGAAGAAAACGGACAUGUCCACCGCCUGUGCCGCCCCGUACAGCCUGAACUCCCUGAGGCUGUUCUGUGGCUGCAGUCGGUCCCUGGGUGCUGCUAUUUUAGGAGGGAGCUACCAGGCAUGUUUACGGCACUCUUGAAGCUGACUCGAGGGCUUCGCUCUUGCUGGGCAAACCUUCUAACAACUAGCGACCUCUCCUCUCCUCGUGGAUCAGGAUGCUCUGUGUUUUAGCAGGGCGGUAUCUGGUGGACGACAUACCUGUUCGGAAGGUGGUGGCUGCCGAAGGUCGUACUUCCUCCAGGCCCCACAAACAACCUCAGGCCUUCUUCUGCAACACAUAAUUGGGAUGCUCGUUAAGCAGACGGCCAUCAGACGACUACCCAAUAAUAUGCAUAUUGUAGUAAUCCACAUUUUACAUUGAUUAAACGUAUCAAAGCUCUGAAAGAGACAACUGGAGCCAGCCUCCAGCUCCUUCUCGCCAACUUCCCCAAAGCUCCUUUUCUCUGAACAGGAAUGACAGCUCUUUCUACAAAUUUUUCAUGAGGUUUAAUUAUUUCUAUUUCCAGCCAGUUACACAACAAAACAGCCAACUGUUAAGUGUUCUCUCUUCCACCAGCUUGAGUAAUUGCACCUUUCAAGUUGGUGGCAUAUAAAUUCUCAGUUUCUGUGGAAAAUUAGAGGAGACUGCGGGAUUCUAUUCACUACUGUUUCAAGACCACCACCCCAGCCCUCCAAACUGGGUCAGGGACCUGACACUCAUAAAGUGCACGGACAUGAAAGCUUUCUUUAAAAUUGAUCUGUUACCCCCUCUCCCCACAACUACCAGUUCUGGGGAUUGAACCCAGGGCCUCAUACAUCCUAGGAACUGGCUGUACUACUGAACUACGCCUCCUUCAGCUGAUUUCUUCACUCGUUUGUUCCUUUUCCAGCAUCACCAGCCUUCGUCAGACAAGCUACAGAACUAUCUUUGCUUUGGCGGACGGGGAAUGAUUCUACACAUGGGCGGCGGCAGCCCGAUCAAUCGAUCCUGUGGGCUGACGCAGCUGUGGACCUCAGCACCCGCCCGCAUCCGUUCUCCGCACACCUUCUGCACUGGAGUCGAGGCUGAAGUCCUGACUCUGCAGGAUUUUCUCCACAAUGUCAUCCGCAUCCACUCUGGUGUCGUCAACCCGCUUCAGCUGAGACUCAACCGAAUCCUGCUUCACCGGGCACCUUCGGAAAGAACCACAGUUGUUUGCACCUUUUGUACUGAUGGGGUUCAGUUGCACAUACAGGUGUGUUUUACACGCAGCGUCGCCGCGUGGGCGGGCACCUGGUGAGCUUCUCCGAAGCGUCUCCUUCCCUGUCAGCGGAGUCAGGGUUUGGUUCAGCUGUGGCCGGCUCCAUUUCAUCACACGGCUCCAGAAUGCUUUCCACUCCUGUGGAUGUGCUUCCCACUGAGGUAUUUCUCCUGUGGCAGAACUCGGAGAAGCUGGAUGACCGGGAGUGGCAUGUGCUGUACCCUGCCGGAGGAAAAGUCACUUUGCAUGUAUUCACGCUACCAGUCACUCUACAACCGAACUUUGUCCGAAUGUGUGCACAUGUUGAGAUGGGUGCACGUGCAUGUGUGUGCAGAUGCACACGUGUGAGCGUGUGUAGAGAGGCCAGUGGUUGAUCGGGUAUCCUCUCUCACUGGCCACCUUACUUUUGAGACAGGAUCUCUCGCUGAGCUUAGGACUUGCUGAUUUGGCUGUAACGGUCCCUGAAAUCCUUCUGCCUUUGUCUCCCCAGUGCUUAGAUUAUAGGUGUGAACUGUUGUGUCCGACUUUCACGUGAGUGACUGAGCUCAGGUUCUCAGGCCUGCAUGACAAGCAUUUUACUGAACCAUCUGUCAUCUCCCAGGUGCAAUGUUUUUCAGCCCACACCGGAGUAACUUCAAGUUAAUUACUGAAUUUUAUUUUGUUUGGGACUGGCACCUGCUAUACAGCAAGCAGAGGCUGGUCUUGAACUUGCCAUCCUUCUCUCCCAGCCUCCCCACUGCUAGGAUAACAGGUGUGUACCACCCCCACUUGGCUUCAAAUCCCUUAAGAACAGUGGUUCUCAACCUGUGCCUCCCAAUCCCUUUGGCAAACAUCCAACUCCAAAAAUAUUUACAUUACGGUUCAUAACAGUAGCACAAUUACAAUUAUGUAGCAACGAAAAUAAUUUUAUGGUUGGGGGUCACCACCACUCAGGGAACGAUAUUAUUAGGGUCACAGCAUUAGGGAGGCUGAGAACCAGUGAUCCCGAAUAAUAAGGAGUUGAAUCCCACUGGGGGCCUCUACCUGAAACUUUGGACUGCUGGCUUGCAUAGCUGGAUGUUCUAGAAUGUCCCCAGGCACCAAGUUCAUCUGGAACAGAGGCACUCUUUGCUGAAAGAUCUGCAACAAGUCACGUGAUGUUACUAUAACAAGUUAAUGUCCAAUUUGUACUUUAACCUGCAGAUUUUAUUAAUUCGCAAGUUCAUAAUCAAGGAAAACGCAUUGUAAAGUGA